CUGGAAAGAGGAAAAUAACUAUUUUUCCUGUACAGUACAAAGGGGAAUAAAACAAUCAACCUCAAUUACAGAAAUUAUACUUGCAGUCAUGCUUUGAAGUUCCAAGUGACCGAACCAUUUCAGUUUGUGUUCAGUGUACUAAAUCCCGUCCUAUUUCACAUUAAAAAUUAGCCAAAGACCUGUUCUACAAUAACUGAUUUGUUUACACUAAAUGUUCUCCUUUCUUGGAAGUUUAUCUGGCAAAAAUCAUUAUGUUAUCCUUCAAACGGUGAGCCACUGAGCUUCCUCUUUAGGAGAACAAAUGAGACCAUGGUCACAAUAAACUACAAAUAAUCCCUGCAGAUCACGAGUUCUGAUUGCUGAAUUCCUUGCAGACAAUCAUUAAAAAACUUCCUUCCACUGUACAAAGGCUCCUCCUGAACAACAAGGAGGGGUACAGAACCAGGACAACCAUCCAUAUUGCUCCUGGUGAACACAUUUAUUCCAGCACUCCACCGUCUGCAGAAAAGCUAUUUUCUUUGAGCCUGUGUAUGAGAGGGUACAAGACGGCAGGAACAGGGGUAAGGCAGUAGUUUAGGAAUCUAAAGGACUUGGCUUGCGUUCCACUGCAAGUUCCUAAGACACAUCUGGAAAAGCAAGUUGCAGCAACUGGUGUUUUAGGAGCGGAAUUCACAAUGCCCAAAUUAUCUGCGUGCUAGAUCAUAGAAUCAUAGUAUCACAGAAUGGUUUGGGUUGGAAGGGACCUUAAAGCCCAUCCAAUUCCAACCCCCUGCUAUGGACAGGGAUGCCACCCACUAGACCAGGUUGCCCAGAGCCUCGUCCAACAUGGGGAAGGUUCCAGAUCAACGCUGGGAUGGUAACCACCAGCAGGACUCACAAUAAGUAUGAGAUGCCUGAAGGCCUCUUUGCUCUUUACCAAGUGAUGGCUUUAUGGAUUCACAUAAAACACAGCAGACAGGCUCCUAAGACCACCAGUUUCCCUUUGUGCCUGGAGCUCCUUUCUCUUCGCAGACCAUGGACUUUCUACUCUUCUACUCUGGUACUGCCCCUCUACUGCAGUGAUCGGAUCCAAUAUCUGCAAUAUCUGAAGUAG
rnacentral:lncRNA from 1 species